rnacentral:tRNA from 1 species
GGGGAUUUAGCUCAGCGGCAUAAGCGCCUGCCUUGCAAGCAGGCAGUCGUGAGUUCGAUUCUCGGUACCG